AUGGAUGCGCCGCCGCCGCCGUCGCCGGCGGCGCACAACCUCAAGAAGCGCAAGUUGGGCCGACAUGAUGAGCAAGAACCACCACCGGAGAGCGGCAGGGCCAGCGACGGGGUCGGCCUCGACUUCUUCAACGCCCUCCCCGACGACCUCCUGUGCACCAUCAUCUCUCUCCUCCCCACCAAAGACGGCGCCCGCACGCAGGCCCUCGCCCGCCGGUGGCGGCCCCUCUGGCGCUCCGCGCCCCUCAACCUCGUCGGCCAUGGCCUCUCCGGCCAGGUGGGUAAGCGCGUCGUCUACAUCUCGAAGAUCCUCGCCGAGCACCCUGGCCCGGCCCUCCGCCUCUCGCUCCCCUGCCUCCAUGAACGCUACCACGACAAGAUCGAAGGCUGGCUUCGUUCCCAGGCCCUCACCGACCUCCAAGAGCUCAGCUUCGGCUACGAACCCCCAGGCUUCCCACCGUACCGGCUGCCGCCGCCCCCGAUACCACAGUCCGCGCUCCGCUUCGCGCCGACACUCCGCGUCGCCAGAAUCUGCUACUGCUAUUUCCCCAAGCUGCCUGCCGAGUCUCUGAAUUUUCCGCAUCUCAAGCAGCUCACCAUGUACAUGCUCACCAUCUCGGACUUGUCUGCGUCGUCUCUGAAUUUUCCGCACCUCAGGCAGCUCACCACACAUGCAGUCACCAUCUCGGGGGACGCUCUGCACAGCUUGCUCUCUGGCUGCCUUUCGCUGGAAAGCCUUAUACUGAAAGAUAAUGUUGGCGUUGGCCGCCUCCGCAUCAGCUCCUCGACUAUUAGGAGCAUAGGCUUUUCUGCUCCUCAUACGUCUGUGGCUUCCCCUGUCCAAGAGCUGCUCAUCGUGGACGCCCCUUGCCUUGGGAGGUUUCUACCACUCAGUGGAGGCUAUGGUCCCUCCACAGUCCAGAUCAUCGGAGCACCCAAGCUGCAGAUGACGGUUUUGCUGUCAAAUGGCACAUCCAAACUCCAUAUUGGAAAUGGAACCAUGGGUUUUCAGGAAAUGCCUGCCAUCAGUGUGACAACCAUCAUGCACACUGUCAAGUUUUUGGUUAUUGACACCGUUGGCCCUGAUCUUGAUGCAGUAAUUGGCUUCCUCAAGUGCUUCCCCUGCUUAGAGAGGCUGUAUAUCAUUUCACACCUACGGAAAGGAAUGAAAAAUGUGCGAAAAUAUGACCUGCUGGAUCCAAUUGAAUGCCUCACGCUCCAUCUCAAAAGCGUGGUCUUGCAGAACUACUGGGGCAACAAGCCAGAUGUGGACUUUGCCAAAUUUUUCAUCUUGAAUGCAAUGGUGCUAGAGCAAAUGAUAUUUAUAACCCUCAACAGCUGCAAUGAAAAAUGGAUGUCUGAUCAACAUAGGCGGCUGCAAGUGGACCACAGAGCUUCUCUACAUGCUCGAUUUGAAGUCAAAAGCUAUUUGAGUCGGCACUGGAUUGACUUCGCAGAUAGCAAGCAUACCCAUGAUUUAUCUGUGGCGAAUCCCUUUGCUGAUAGGUUCGAGAACCGCAUACUGGCCUUUGGCCUGACUUCUUUUGUAGUUUGA
rnacentral:rRNA from 1 species